UACGUAGGGUGCAAGCGUUGUCCGGAAUUAUUGGGCGUAAAGAGCUCGUAAGCGGUUUGUCGCGUCUGCUGUGAAAAUCCAGGGCUUAACCCUGGACCUGCAGUGGGUACGGGCAGACUGGAGUGCGGUAGGGGAGAUCGGAAUUCCUGGUGUAGCGGUGAAAUGCGCAGAUAUCAGGAGGAACACCGGUGGCGAAGGCGGAUCUCUGGGCCGUAACUGACGCUGAGGAGCGAAAGCAUGGGGAGCGAACAGG
rnacentral:rRNA from 1 species